CACUCAGUGACUUGGAUUUUUCAAGUCUCCAAUCGAGAAGUUUUCCUCACUCGGGAAAUUAAGGGAACACUACCUCAACCUACAUGCUCCACUCACAAAGCUUCAACAUACAAGCUUUCAACAAAAGAAAAAUUCAAAGAACUUAGUGAAGAAGGCUUUGGUGUAUUUAACACAAUACGUUGAAAUGAAACAAAACUUAUUUAUUGAUAUCUCUAAGAAGUUACAAAUAUGUACAUAUACAUGAGUCAAAAUAAAACAAACAAGAGGGAGCCUUCACAAAGGUUGCUUAGGAGAAGUCUCAGAAGUCGGUAGAGCCCCAGAAAGAGAAGGCACCGGAGGGGGAUCAUUCG
rnacentral:lncRNA from 1 species